GGCAAUCAUUCUGCCUCACUUUUUGGGAAGUAAAGCAGUAAAAAAGAAGUAGUUAUGAACUGGACUCUUCAUGAUCAAGAUUAAAAUAAAUAAAUGGAAGAUCUAGAAUCAAAGGGCAUGUCUAUGGCCCAGGCAUUUGGUUAUGAUGGAAAAGCUUCCCAGAGAAGUGUCCUUUGAACUAAGCUGAGCCUAAAAGAAUGAAUAGGAUCUUGAAUAGACAAAGAAAAGAUCAGAGGAAACCAACUAUCUGAACACAAGCGUAAAUCAGACGACAGGCAGCUGGAUGGAUCUCUGUAGAGGGAGUGAACUCAAGCACAAAGCACUUUUUACUGUAUCCACUGGAUGAAUGAAGAGAACUUCAAAGACCUGCAAGAGAGGCACGAUAAAAGGAUCUUGGGUGCCUGAGUGACUGUGUGGAGCAGAGACCAUCAUUGACCUACACAUCAAUGUCAAGUGAAAAACAAACUAUUUUGAGCUGCUGCUUCUGUAAAAUAAGUAUAGUGUCUCGAAAAAGAUGGCAGCGAAGUAGAGGGACGUGGAAUGCAUCCCUCUCCACAGAUGCAUUGGGAAUGCACCGAAGGACGCAAUAUUUCCCACAGAGAACCGGCUGAACACCAGCAGACGGCCUCGGACACCAGAAAGGACCGCAAGGAGCCCAACAUAACUGGUAGGGAAGCAUCUACGAUGGCUCAAAGAGGAUGAAGCGGUGGAGCCGUGGCAGACAGGAGGGAGUGAGAAACAUACGGAGGGUCCGCAAUGCAGCUCAGCGUUCCUGGACCGAGACAUCAAUUCACAGCUGAACAGAGGGUUCAGGAGUGGGAGCAUGGGAACCAGGGAGCUGGUUCAGGGUGAGAAAAAUUGUUGCCAGUCAGGUGAUGGACCGAGAGGACAGGAGGGAAGAGGUCCGCGGUGAGGAGUGCCUGCCCCUGAGAGCUGCCCGGCCAUGAUGGCGGCUGGAUGCUGCAGGCUCACCGGCAGUGGGGAGGAGCCGUGGGCAUAGCCUCUCUCUCUCUUUCCCCGCCUCUGCAACAGGCAGUGGAGAGACGCCCUGUGGGCCACCUAAGGUGCUCA